CCCACAAAGAGUUUGGCC
rnacentral:rRNA from 1 species